CCCCGCACAGGCCCCGCCCCUCCCCAUCCGGCCCCGCCCUCCGCCGGCCUGGUGUAGGUCAGCCAGCCGGUUCCCCGCGCCGCGCCAGCCAUGGUGAACCUGGGCCUGUCCCGGGUGGACGACGCCGUGGCCAGCAAGCACCCGGGACUAGGUGAAUACGCCGCGUGCCAGUCGAACGCUUUCGUGAAGGGCGUUUCCACCUUUGUCACAGGUACCGGUGCGACCUUCGGCCUGCAGAUGCUGGUCCAGAGGAGGCUUCCAUUCCCCUUUCAGUGGAAGGUGCUGGUGGCUGUGGGUGGGUACUCCAGCCUGCGACCCCUGAAAUGCACCCCAGUUGCCGCUGGCUCUUCAGCAGAAUCGCAGGCUCAGUGGCCAGCUACUGGGUGACCCGCGUAGAGUCGCAGAAAUGCAGCAACCUCUGGCUCUUCCUGGAGACAGGGCAGCUCCCCAGAGACAUGCACACAGAUCGGCGUAGCUAGGAGUGCUCCAGCCGGGGCACCGGAGACCUGGGGCCAGACAGGUCUAGAACACAGCCCUCGGCACCUCUGUACCCCAGGUUGGCCCUCCCCACACCCGUGGCCCCCGCACACAGGCAUGACCAGGUCUGUUGAACCUGUGCAGACUGCUCCUGCCCAGCCUGACCGCCCGGGAGCUCAAGCCAGGAGCCUCCGUUCCUGGGGUGGCUGUCCUCCUGCAGGUGGACACAGCAUGCCUUUGGGGGCAGCCCUGGAGCAGGGAGGGGCUUCUGUACUCUGCCACUGCCACUCCCUUUCUGGCCCCUGCAUCCCCCACCCACGCCAGUCAGAGACGAUGUUCCCCCCGGGGGCUGGGGAACUAAUAAACACCUUGUCCUGUUUCCCA